AGCUAUGUGUACUAAUACAUAGUUAUUUCUGCUCCAUGAUUAUUAAAUAGCCGCAGUACUCUGACUGUGCAAAGGUAGCAUAAUCAGUUGGCUUUUAAUUGGAGUCUGGUAUGAACGAAAAUAUGGGUGGUGACUGUCUAAAUAUAUUUUUCCUAACUUUUUAAUCAAGUGAAAAUACUUGUCCUAAUAAAAAAGACGAGAAGACCCUAGAAACUUGAAAAGUUUUUUGUUGGGGCGACAGAGUUACAUGUAACUAAUUUUAUAGAGCAUGACAUUAAUUAGAAAGGAUAAGUUACUCUAGGGAUAACAGCAUAAUUUUAAUAGUUUGUGACCUCGAUGUUGGACUAGGUACUAUACCCUUUAGGCAAGGGUAUAAGACGCUCUGUUCGAGCAAAUAUACCUACAU
rnacentral:rRNA from 1 species